rnacentral:rRNA from 1 species
GGAUGAACGCUGGCGGCGUGCCUAACACAUGCAAGUUGAGCGAUUUACUUCGGUAAAGAGCGGCGGACGGGUGAGUAACGCGUGGGUAACCUACCCUGUACACACGGAUAACAUACCGAAAGGUAUGCUAAUACGGGAUAAUAUAUUUGAGAGGCAUCUCUUGAAUAUCAAAGGUGAGCCAGUACAGGAUGGACCCGCGUCUGAUUAGCUAGUUGGGAAGGUAACGGCUUACCAAGGCGACGAUCAGUAGCCGACCUGAGAGGGUGAUCGGCCACAUUGGAACUGAGACACGGUCCAAACGCCUACGGGAGGCAGCAGUGGGGAAUAUUGCACAAUGGGCGAAAGCCUGAUGCAGCAACGCCGCGUGAGUGAUGAAGGCCUUCGGGUCGUAAAACUCUGUCCUCAAGGAAGAUAAUGACGGUACUUGAGGAGGAAGCCCCGGCUAACUACGUGCCAGCAGCCGCGGUAAUACGUAGGGGGCUAGCGUUAUCCGGAUUUACUGGGCGUAAAGGGUGCGUAGG